GGCGGAGGGGUGGAGUCGGGGGGGCCAGGGGCCGCCGAGGGGCGAGCAGGAGUGGGGGAGGGAGAGAAAGAGAGAGGGGGGCGGCGGUGGCAGCUGGGGGUGCCGACCAAGCGGCGGAAGGAGGAGAAGCGGUAGCUGCACCUGCAACCGCACGCGCGCGCCCGCCGUCUCGAACGACAGGCCGACGCACCGCGCGGGCACAACAUGACGGACUUCUCGAGAUAGGCCUCCUCAUGCUCCUCUGCGCACUAGGCGGCCGCGGCAGAAGGGAGAAGGGAGAAAGGUAGGGAGGACGAGCGGUCGCCGAGGAGGAGGGGACGGAGGAGUGCAGCGGGAGUCCAGGCUCCGUUGCUCAAACGAAGGAGACGAGGCAAGUACAGUAACUCGAAAAAGGAACCGGUAUCGUGGUGUAAACGCCGGCGUGUGGUCUCAGUUAAACCAACUGAUCGUUGUCUCGUUUCCACAGGAGGUCCAAGACGUAGUAGUCACACAUGGAGAUCUAAGACGUAGUAAUCACUCGUUGAAUGGAUUCCAAUCAAAAGAAACAUGAAUGUCGGGUGAGACGAGGGUAAAGAGAGAGUAUAAGCGUAAUUAGUCCCCGACGAUAGACACGUUAGUACUACCAAAGAAAUACGGUAGUCUGGGGUAGGACAUCACAGUAAAAGGAGAGUAGUCCAUCCUCUCAAAAUUAUCUAUAUAACUAUCGUUUGUUAUCGUAACUAUUCUUGGGCCAUAUACCACCAAAAGAAACUACUCAUAUACACUAUGUAUCUUUUACAUAUACCACCAAAGGUAAGACCAAAUGGACCCACCACGUACCUCGAAUAAAGAGAACCCAAGAAAGAUCUCAUACUUCCACAACAAUCGAUCGUGGUAAACCUCUUUCAUGUAGUACAGAACCUAGACUUCACUUCGCACAAGAAUAUAUUAAGAAACUCUUUUCCCGACAAAUAAUUCUGAUUGUUCUUAGAGGUUCGUAAAAAUCUUAACGUAAGAAGAAAUCUCUACCAUAAGAAAAAGUUAUCAAGAGACUGAGUAGACUAACCCCAAACCCAUAUGGUCACAACCAACCUCACAACCAACGUAGGAGCAACUCGAUACGAGCCAAUCUAACGAACACUACGGACAGAAAGGAGAAAAUGGAACUAUAUACCAGGAUUGGGAUUUGUAAAUAUUCCCCUCCGUAACAAAGUCUGUGUACUCUUGGACCUUGUGGAUCGUUACUACCUCUCCCAAAACCCUGGGCAUGGUCUCGUGUACUAUGCCCUCCGAUCAAAUAGUCGAGUCUUUAUAAAAUCCGCUCCCUGUGCAGAUUUAACCGGACUUCCACGACAAUGUUCUCUUUCGUAGUCUCGUCAGUCCUUUGAUGUGGCCGAUUUCGUUUAGUGGGACGGGAUGCUUGCUGGUAGCGUUCGACAAGUGAAUUGGAAGGUUUCGGUUCCAAGGACACAGCCGAAGACAGCUAUGAUCUCUUUCACGAAGUCGACUUCUACGAUAACUGGAUAUAGGUUCCGUCUACUUUGAUUCGACCUACCACUCUUGCGACUACAACACCAAUGACCUCUACUCUUCUUGCACGUCAGACUGGUUUGGAUCGGAUUCUCGUUGGCUCGGGUUAGUUGUUAAUCAUCUUCAUCAAUACUCUACUCCGUCUCCUCUCGUCUCUCCUGGCCUCUUCCUCAACGCCUGGAGUGGUUGUUCCGGCACUGGGACGUAGUGAUUUUUUUACGGGGCAUAAACAAAGAGUACGAACCCACUACCGACUGGUACCGUACAAGAAUAAUCAAGUCCAACCAGAGAGGCCAAGAAAAGCGGCUACCGAACUACAUACGUGACCGUUGGAGAAUGACCUUCCUAAGCCGUACGGAGACAAGCUCUCUACCCUAUACUUCUUUACCGCAAGACCAUAAAAUAUAGUAAACUUCGUUACUGUGAAAUAAAACCAAGUGUAAAGAAAUGUCCAACAACAUACGUCUCAAAUACUCCAACGUGACGUGGUAGUUUGAUACGAGGUACAAUUCGUUGUAGGUCUUGACGGUAAUAUAUAAAUUACAUCAUCUAACUACGUUGAAACAUUGGUAAGUACCUAAAUUUUAUCCGAAAUAUGGAGAAAUAAAACCAGCCGUACAAAACCGUGCACAGAAACAGUAACUAGCCGAUAUAUAAUUAAUGUAAACUCAUCUGACAACUGACUCUUUCGGACUUGUACAACACAAAACUAAAUACUCCUGAUUAUCUAUCAAAAGAGAGCCCAAAUAAAUAAAAGAGAGGUGUGAAAAUUAAGAUGUAUUUUCAUGUAAGAUAACAAUAAACAAAUGACUACGUUAUAUACAUGGGAAUAAACAGAGUUGAAAUAGUUAAAAUCAAACACAAAAGACGCCGCGUCUUGUGUCAAGUUCCGUCCCGACACAGUUUCUACACACGGUUUAUUAAUUCGACUAACUUUAUAGUUUGAAACCCACGUCGGAAGAACCAGGACAUAUAUACUGACCG
rnacentral:rRNA from 1 species